rnacentral:rRNA from 1 species
UACAGAGGUCCCGAGCGUUGUUCGGAAUCACUGGGCGUAAAGCGCACGUAGGCGGAUCUUUAAGUCAGGGGUGAAAUCCCGAGGCUCAACCUCGGAACUGCCUUUGAUACUGGGGAUCUCGAGUCCGGGAGAGGUGAGUGGAACUGCGAGUGUAGAGGUGAAAUUCGUAGAUAUUCGCAAGAACACCAGUGGCGAAGGCGGCUCACUGGCCCGGAACUGACGCUGAGGUGCGAAAGCGUGGGGAGCAAACAGG